rnacentral:rRNA from 1 species
UACGUAGGGUGCAAGCGUUGUCCGGAAUUAUUGGGCGUAAAGAGCUCGUAGGCGGUCUGUCGCGUCGGAUGUGAAAAUCCAGGGCUCAACCCUGGACCUGCAUUCGAUACGGGCAGACUAGAGUUCGGCAGGGGAGACUGGAAUUCCUGGUGUAGCGGUGAAAUGCGCAGAUAUCAGGAGGAACACCGGGUGGCGAAGGCGGGUCUCUGGGCCGAUACUGACGCUGAGGAGCGAAAGCGUGGGGAGCGAACAGG